rnacentral:rRNA from 1 species
GACGAAGGUGGCAACCGUUACUCGGAAUCACUGGGCAUAAAGCGCGCGUAGGUGGCUGGGUAAGUCCAUGGUGAAAUCCCUCGGCUCAACCGGGGAACGGCCGUGGAUACUGCCUGGCUUGAGGUCGGGAGGGGAAAGUGGAACUCUCGGUGUAGCGGUGAAAUGCGUAGAUAUCGGGAGGAACGCCGGUGGCGAAAGCGACUUUCUGGACCGUACCUGACACUGAGGCGCGAAAGCGAGGGGAGCAAACAGG